ACCUGAGGGGAGAUCAGAAGAGGGUUAUUUGUGGCUGGUGCUCUCCCAUUUUGUUUUGGAGGUUUAUCUGGCAUGAAACUCAGCCCAGAGAGGAAAAAACACACAUUAUGUGGAUGUCAACAGAGAAGAUAAUAAUAUCCCCAAAAAUCAAAAGUGUUUUUGUGAGUAAACAUUUAAAACUGAAGACAGUUUUAUAUAGAGGCCAUAUAAAACCAGGUCCUAAGGCUAGGUUUCUCAGAGAGACUAUUAAGUAGUGCUAGGAAUUUUCUAUUGCGUUUUCAGUGAUACAAGGAAUUGAGGGUAUCCAACUGUGCUCUGCCCAGAAGCAUUAUUUUAUGCUUUUAUGAUCUAUUACUAGAGGCCCGGUGCACGAUUUCAUGCACAGGUGGGGUCUGGUGGGCCUGCCCCAUCAGGGCCUGGCUGGUGGGGGGUGGGGCCUCGGGCUGUUGGCUGGCCCGCUUCCUGAUCGAACUCCUGCCUGAGGGGACAAUUCACAUAUUGGCCUUUUAUUACAUUGGAUAAUUUUAUCUCCUGUCCUGCUAGUAGUGUAUUAUCAGCAAAUUAUCAAGAGGAUAACUAUAAAUCAACACAAGGCUAUAAACUGUGAUUGCUGACUGAAUUACAGCUGAACAGCAGUUAUAGGAAAUGUGUGGAUGCUUCUCACAUGCUGAGGUCUGGGCACUCACCGGGUUAGAAAUCCAUUAAGUAUCAUGGGAAAAUGUCUUCUAAAGCAGUGAUUCAGAGUAUGGUCCUGGGGCCACAAUUGAACUAUAGUGGAUCUCCUUCCUGAUGGGCCAUGAGCUGAUUAUGCAUGGCCAAAGGUUGCUUACUGAAUAAAAGAGGGUCAAUAUAACAUUUGGUAUUCCUAAACUAAAAUUAGCAUGUUCCAUGGUGUUACUACACAUUUGCAUUUAGUGUUCUAUUAAGAGGUCGCUGAUGUGCUUGGCAGUGCACGUGUGAAGAACUGGAAUUCCUACUGUGUUUUAGAAGGACACUUGACCUAUCCUAUCAUUGCAUAGUGUCAGCUUAUCAUUGGCAGUAUAGUUGUGAGUUUGGUUAACUCUGCAAUGCUCAGAAGUGUCAAAAACAAAGAAAGUGCUCAGUUUUUUAUUAAGUAAAUGGGUAAUCCUGUUGUGUAUUUGGCUUAUGUACUAGGCCAGUGAUGGCGAACCUUUUGAGCUCGGUGUGUCAGCAUUUUGAAAAACCCUAACUUAACUCUGGUGCCAUGUCACAUAUAGAAAUUUUUUGAUAUUUGCAACCAUAGUAAAACAAAGAUGCAUAUUUUUGAUAUUUACUUUAUAUAUUUAAAUGCCAUUUAACAAAGAAAAAUCAACCAAAAAAAUGAGUUUGCGUGUCGCCUCUGACACGUGUGUCAUAGGUUCGCCAUCACUGUCCUAAGUCCUAGUUUUUUUUCCCUAUAAUUUUUUUUUGUCUUUUUGUUUUUUAACUUAUGAUCACAUCCUGUAUACUUAUGUAGUCAAGUUUUUAACAGUGUAUCCGCCAUUUAAUCUUCCUGGUGCCAGGACUUGCUCUUGUUUUUUUUUUUUUUCUUUUCUUCUCUUUUAUUUGUUAUUUAUUUUAAAAAAAAUUGUUUUUUGCUCUUGUUUUUUUUUUUGACUGCUGUUAUAAUGGGCUAGACACUUCAUCAAUUUUAUAGCUUCAUGCAAAUAGCUAACUUUAUAGAUAUCCUGUGGAUUACUGGCUCAUUCAUUCAACAAAUGUUUAUUAAACACCUACUACAUGCCAGGUAUUCUCUUUGUAGAUCACAUAAUGAGGGAUAAGGUGGCAUGCAAUGGUUUAUUUUCUAGCUAGCUAAGGUGAAGAUAUAGGAUUACUAGCUCAAGGGAGAGGGAGACAGCUAUGACCCCUUCGUAGUCAGAUGAAUGAGCAAAGAAAUAGGAUCAAGUUUCAUACAUAUCACAUAUCAAAUUUGGCAGGAACAGAACACCAUGUUAUCAGCAAGUAUUGCUAAGAACCAGAGCCAGGUACUAGAAAGUAUAUAUAGAAUAAGAUCAGACUGCCUUAAGUCUUUGACUUUUUAACAUUGUAGGAAAUGGGGUAUAAAUGAAUAGAAACAAUAGGGAAUAUCUUAAUUAUUUAGAGUACUCAUAAAUAAAUCCUGGAUAGCUAAGAGUUUACCCCUUUAAGCACUAAAACCCUUAACCACUUGGAAUCACCAAAACCCUGAACCAUUCGGAAUGCUUAAAAUUUAAAAAUGCAACACAUAUCACUCUGCCCCCUUAACGUGGAUAUAAUUGAACACUUUCUUGGUGAUCUGGUUCAUAAUUAUUCUACAGUAAAGUCAUGACUGCUUUAUAAGCUGUUGAGAUGUGUAAAACUGUUGCUCCGAUUCUGUUAGGGCCUACACUGUCCUGCAUUCCGAGUUCUCGUAUCCAUUUCUUAGGGCUUUUCUGCCCCUUUCCUUCCUAUUGAGGCAUUAGUAGUCACUUGAGCUUUCAGUGUGCCUGCCAAGGAUGUUGUUUUCCCUACUUCUAAUUUACUGCAGGCCUUAGAAAUUGUAUGUUUUUAAGGCGUAAAAAAGAAAUAUAAGAGCAAAGGUCUUGGGUGCUUUCCUUACAGACUUAGUGCUUAGCCUGGUAACAUCGGUUCUGGCCACUCAAGGCCCUUUGUUCGGGUGUAUUUUGGAGAAGUGGAGGUUGUUGAGUUCCACACAGGCAGGUGAAGUAGUAUUGUACACUACUAAACAUAUGAUAAGAAGAUGGUGCAAUUGGCAGAAUAAUCAAAAGAAUGCAGCAGGCCAUUAAGGUUACCAAGAACAUUAAGAUCAUAACAGAGAACAGCAAAGCCUGAAUUGAGGCCACAGAGGGGAAGAAGGAACUGUUCUGGGGAGAGUUGCUGUGACAACCAGAGCUGAUUUUGAGUGUGUAAACACCAAGCCUUGCUCUUGGCUGCUGCUCAGCUCAGCAGGCUUUGUAACCUGGCUGCCCAGUCACCCCUUUAGGGAUGUGCUGGGUUUUUUUGGAGGGUGUUGUCCCACAAGGUGUUUCUGAGUCCUAAUGCUUUCUUGUGGGAGCCGAUUCUUAAUACAAUAGCCACAGUCACCUGACAAAUAUUUAGAGAACAAUGGAAGUACCUCCUCCCCACCCAUCAGAGUCUGAUUCAGUCGGUCUGAGCGAUCUGGUGUGCAGCCAGGGUGAAGAAGCACUGUCUUACUAAAAUCCUGGUGCCAGGCAGAGUGCUUACUAGGUCCUGAGAAUAAAAUUCUGAGCUUGCCAAAACCGAGUUGCUAUCUUUCCUUUAAUACCACUCUCCAGGCAGAGGUUAGUUUUGUAAGUCUGAUUGGGAGGUUUUAAAGAACUUGUUUGGCAGUACUAUAACUUUUUUCUUUUUAGUUAAAGAAGGGCCUUCAGAAACUCAUUAGCAAAUGUAGGCUGAUGAACUAACCUACUCCCAAACACGAUGAUCCCAUAUUAGAAUGGGAGCAUUUCAAGAGCAACACCUAUGGUGUUUACAGUUUUAGAGCAAACUGCUGGGAUACACGGAAUCUGGCUCUGUUUGGGGGUUCAGGUUGUGAGUGUAUCCAGAUGUGUUCUCCAAUCAGUCACUGGACAUCUCGUGAGUGCUGUUGGAGUCAGGGACUAGGAUCUGCCACAACUUAGUUAUUAGUGGAACUUCUUAUUCUCUGCACAAUUGUUGUGAAAUUACUUAUUAAUUUUAGAGGUCCUGAGGUUUCAUUUGAAGGAAUAGAAAUGAGCUGUUUUCAUUAAAGUCUGGUAAAUUUCUUUGUCUUUUCAUCCUGUAGAGCUAUUUCUGGGUUCUGUAGGAAUAGGAUAUGACCCCAUUUGACUAGUCAGUGAGUGAUAAGACUCUGGUGAAAAGAAAGUAGAGGAUGUUUUGGCAAGUGUGAGGGAGAAUACAGAAUUAGGACUGCUAAAUGCUGGAUUAACCAGAUAUUGGUACCAGUUUUAUAGAAAAGAAAAACACUUCAAAUACCAUACAAAGAAUUGAUAUAAAUGAAGAAAAUUAAAAUUUUUUUGAAUUAAUUCAUUAAAACAGAUAUUAAUAGAAAUAUCAUACUUUUAUUUAUUAUUGUAAUUAUUUUUUAAUGGUACCCUGACUGGGAAUUGAAUCUGUGACCUCCUGGUACAUUGAACAACACUCAACCAACUGAGGCACACUGGCUAGAGCUAAAUAUCAUACCUUUAAUGAAAACAAAUAUAUUUUUCUAAAACAAACAAAAUCAUUGAAUGCAGAGAAUGGCAUUGUUUUACACUUGUACAAAUUUCUGGCCUUUCUCUAAGUAUAAGAUAGCUGGAUUCUCAAAUGUGCCUCUGUAUUUAAUCUGUUGUUUUGGUUAAACUAUAUGUAGGAAACCGUUAUACAGAUAUAUAGUUGAAAGGCGAAUCAAUAGCUUUUUCAGAUAAAUUUGGAUAUUCUUUGAUAUUCUACCUAAACUUGACAGAUUGUUUCUUAAAGGUUUGUUGCAAUGUGGAAUAUGCAGCAAACAUAUCAAUGAACUUUUCAUAUUCUAUUAUGUUAAAACCCAGUGGUCUCUCAUUGCUUUGAAUGGUUUUUGUAAUAUCAUGCACUGGUCAUCUGGAAAACAAUGGCUCACUGUAUUAGGCAGAUCUUCCAAAUAUUGACAAUAUGUCAUUAAAAUACAGUAUAAAAAUCACAUCUUUUGCCCUAGAUGGUUUGGCUCAGUGGAUAGAGCGUCAGUCAGCCUGCGGACCAAAGGGUCCCAGGUUCGAUUCCAGUCAAGGGCAUGUACCCUAGUUGCAGGCACAUCCCCAGUAGGAGGUGUGCAGGAGGCGGCUGAUCGAUGUUUCUCUCCCAUCGAUGUUUCUAACUCUCUAUCCCUCUCCCUUCCUCUCUGUAAAAAAAUCAAUAAAAUAUAUAUUUUUUAAAAAAUCACAUCUUUUAAUAACACCAUUGAUCUUCAACAUAAAAAUCUGUA